rnacentral:rRNA from 1 species
UACAGAGGUCUCAAGCGUUGUUCGGAUUCAUUGGGCGUAAAGGGUGCGUAGGCGGCGCGGUAAGUCGGGUGUGAAAUCUCGGAGCUUAACUCCGAAACUGCAUUCGAUACUGCCGUGCUUGAGGACUGGAGAGGAGACUGGAAUUUACGGUGUAGCGGUGAAAUGCGUAGAUAUCAGGAGGAACACCGGUGGUGUAGACGGCUCACAGGACCGUAACUGACGCUGAGACACGAAAGCGUGGGUAGCAAACAGG